rnacentral:rRNA from 1 species
UGACCUCAAAUCAGGUAGGACUACCCGCUGAACUUAAGCAUAUCAAUAAGCGGAGGAAAAGAAACUAACAAGGAUUCCCCUAGUAACUGCGAGUGAAGCGGGAAAAGCUCAAAUUUAAAAUCUGGCAGUCUUUGGCUGUCCGAGUUGUAAUCUAGAGAAGUGUUAUCCGCGCUGGACCGUGUACAAGUCUCCUGGAAUGGAGCGUCAUAGAGGGUGAGAAUCCCGUCUUUGACACGGACUGCCAGGGCUUUGUGAUGCGCUCUCAAAGAGUCGAGUUGUUUGGGAAUGCAGCUCAAAAUGGGUGGUAAAUUCCAUCUAAAGCUAAAUAUUGGCGAGAGACCGAUAGCGAACAAGUACCGUGAGGGAAAGAUGAAAAGAACUUUGGAAAGAGAGUUAAACAGUACGUGAAAUUGCUGAAAGGGAAACGCUUGAAGUCAGUCGCAUUGUGUGGGAAUCAACCUUGCUUUUGCUGGGCGUAUUUUCCAUAUGAUGGGUCAGCAUCAAUUUCGACCGUUGGAUAAAGUUCAAGGGAAUGUGGCAUCUUCGGAUGUGUUAUAGCCCUUGGUUGUAUACAA